rnacentral:rRNA from 1 species
GACGAACGCUGGCGGCGUGCUUAACACAUGCAAGUCGAACGAUGAACUUGGAGCUUGCUCUGGGGGAUUAGUGGCGAACGGGUGAGUAACACGUGAGUAACCUGCCCUGGACUCUGGGAUAACUUCGAGAAAUCGGAGCUAAUACCGGAUAGGACCUUGCACCGCAUGGUGUGGGGUGGAAAGUUUUUCGGUCUGGGAUGGGCCCGCGGCCUAUCAGCUUGUUGGUGAGGUAACGGCUCACCAAGGCGACGACGGGUAGCCGGCCUGAGAGGGCGCGCGGCCACACUGGGACGGAGACACGGCCCAGACUCCUACAGGAGGCAGCAGUGGGGAAUAUUGCGCAAUGGGCGAAAGCCUGACGCAGCAACGCCGCGUGAGGGACGACGGCCUUCGGGUUGUAAACCUCUUUCAGCAGGGAAGAAGCGAAAGUGACGGUACCUGCAGAAGAAGCACCGGCUAACUACGUGCCAGCAGCCGCGGUAACAC